GGGGAAUCUUCCGCAAUGGACGAAAGUCUGACGGAGCAACGCCGCGUGUACGACGAAGGCCUUCGGGUUGUAAAGUACUGUCUUCAGGGACGAACGGUAAGUAUGUAAAUAAUGUACUUACAUGACGGUACCUGAGGAGGAAGCCCCGGCUAACUACGUGCCAGCAGCCGCGGUAAUACGUAGGGGGCAAGCGUUGUCCGGAAUCAUUGGGCGUAAAGGGCGCGUAGGCGGAUACUUAAGUCUGGUGUGAAAACCUAGGGCUCAACCCUGGGACUGCAUCGGAAACUGGGUAUCUUGAGGACAGGAGAGGAAAGUGGAAUUCCACGUGUAGCGGUGAAAUGCGUAGAUAUGUGGAGGAACACCAGUGGCGAAGGCGACUUUCUGGACUGUAACUGACGCUGAGGCGCGAAAGCGUGGGGAGCAAAC
rnacentral:rRNA from 1 species